AUACUUCCCUGGUAGGGGUUUAUAUAUCAUAACCAUAAAGGUGAUAUCAAGGGGUGAGGCUAGUCCAUUGCACUCUAGGAUGUGCUGACCCUUGUGAUUUAUCCAAAUUUGGGAAAACUCGAUGGCAUAAUUUGUAGUGGGAGACUGCAUUCNN
rnacentral:snRNA from 1 species